GACGAACGCUGGCGGCGUGCCUAAUACAUGCAAGUCGAACGCACUCUCGUUUAGAUUGAAGGAGCUUGCUCCUGAUUGAUAAACAUUUGAGUGAGUGGCGGACGGGUGAGUAACACGUGGGUAACCUGCCCUAAAGUGGGGGAUAACAUUUGGAAACAGAUGCUAAUACCGCAUAAAACCUAAACACCGCAUGGUGUAGGGUUGAAAGAUGGUUUCGGCUAUCACUUUAGGAUGGACCCGCGGUGCAUUAGUUAGUUGGUGAGGUAAAGGCUCACCAAGACCGUGAUGCAUAGCCGACCUGAGAGGGUAAUCGGCCACACUGGGACUGAGACACGGCCCAGACUCCUACGGGAGGCAGCAGUAGGGAAUCUUCCACAAUGGACGAAAGUCUGAUGGAGCAACGCCGCGUGAGUGAAGAAGGUUUCGGAUCGUAAACUCUGUUGUUGGAGAAGAAUGUAUCUGAUAGUAACUGAUCAGGUAGUGACGGUAUCCAACCAGAAAGCCACGG
rnacentral:rRNA from 1 species